AUGAAGAUCUGGUGAAGGCUUUAAUGAACAGGGAUGACUUUCAUAUGGAACAGGACUCUAUGUUGGUGGACAUUGAAGAUCUGACACGUGGGAGGAUAUGGCCGCAAGCCAUGAGUGAAAAUGUCAUACGUGCUCAAGAAUGCGCCCAGCGCGUGAGCUCACGAAAUCAGCGUCGAAAAGAAAAGGGCAGCAGCUGAUACAUUAAAACCUGUCUCAUGAGGAGUUGGCUAAAAACUGGACUUAAUUCCAUGAUGUCACAAAAUAAUGUCACAUCCCUUCACUGGCAAAUGCAUGGCAGUAGUCACAACCACUUGGGAAGCACUUCACUGAUCACUGUAUAGUGUAGAGAAUUUUUCCCCUCUUGGUUGAGCAGUUUUCCAGUUUUAGUCAAGCUUGAAUAUAUACAUGUGCCAUGAAGAUGCAACCAAGAAUCAGUAAGGAAAAAGACAGGGCAGGUGUUACUAUAAGGAUUAAGCUUAUCACAGAAACAUUUGGUCAUACAUAAAUGGCGUCUCAGAUAGAGGCUAGAUACAAUCAUUCUCUUUGUAAAUGGUUUGCACCAGUCACUAUGCUGUUCUCCUCCCCAUGGCUGUGUUAUAUACAUAUUUCAUUUUCAGAAGAGGUGGCUUUUUGAAGUAGAGAUUGCAGUAGUUGUGCCGGUAGAGCUGUGAAUGUGUGAUUUAACUCUGGAUUGUGCUUGUUGAGACAGACGAACUUCAGGAAGAUGGAUGAACUCCAGGCGACCAUUGGUGCUGAAUUGUGAAAGAUGUCACAUACCUUGGUAUUUGAUAUCCAAUUUGAAUAAUCAGGAACAUGGAAAUUGCCCCUUUAAAGAGAUUUAUUUACUGUUCAUGCAUACCAGAAAUGUUCAAGUAGAAACUUCAAGGUGAUUUGUUUUUUUAUUAAAAUGUUGCAUUUGACAACCUUCCGUAGAUUGUGUCAUGAUGAGUGUUGCUGCUGAAUAUGUGAAAGAUGUCACUUACUAUGGUGUUAUAUGAUCAGGAAGAAGGAAAUUGCCCAUAAAUUCAAUCAUAUGGGCCGUAGUGAUAGCCCAUCAUUCAAAUUACUGGUUGUAAUGUAACCAAAGGGCUCCAUAGGACCAGAAGGAGAUGUGCUUGGGAUGAUUUCCCAGAAAAAAAAUGGUCUGAAACUUCAGAUGUAAGAUUUAGUCUACUUAAAAUCAUUUGAUUAAACUACUACUGUUAAAUCUUGGUCUAUGAAUUAAAGGCAACAUAAGAUAUUUACUUCUUCUGUGAAAGGACUCCUGUAAGUGCCAUAUUUGCUCUCAGGGGAAAAAAGGACGGCAUCACUGGAUGUAUUGAGAAGGCAGAAACACGCAUUUUGUAUGUAGACAGGUUCUCCACAAGUAAAUGACAAUAAGGUUGUAGGAGAAACCGUUACCCCUCUGAAAGAGCCAAUCGAAAUUCACUUGAUAAUAAAUUGAGGCACAGUAAUGGCUAAGGUGGUGGAUUUGUCACCAUAUUAUUGUACUAUAGAUGGCACUUCUACAUACUUCCAAGAUAAAGCUGUUUAGUGCAGUUAGAAAACGGGCUUUACAAAAGUUGAGUUCCAGAUGUGUAACAAAAGACUUGACAUCUUAUUUAAGUACCUAUAAGUGACUUGAUGUUUUUGCUUUCUGAGGAUUCUGGAGUUAAGAUUUGAUGAAACAGGUGCUCAAGUUUUUGUUUAAGUAAUUAUGAUAAUUUAUUGGAAAGUUUGUCAUGUUCUUGCUGCUUUGUUUCCAAAGUACGCUGUAAUUUGGUUUAAUUAUUUUAAAUCUAUUUUAAAAGAACAUACAUGUUACCUUUUUUGCCUCAAAUAGUUUAGAGGAAAUCUUGGUCUGAAGUCACUAAGCAAUCCUCAAGUAUUGGCUUCUUUGUCCAAAAUUCAUGUGAAAUACACACGUGAAGUUGGACAAUUUCAAUGUAAAAAAUAAUAUUAUUAUUUUAUUAGAAAAACUUAGUGAAACCAGCCACUAAAAUACUAGCAAUGCAGUGCUUACUACAGGACGCUUCCUCAAGGUAGCUGUGAGUGUAGAACUGAGUUUAAAUAGAUGAGUUAAGUUGUGAAUAAUGUAGCUGUUAAAAUUCAUUAUAAUUGUUUAUUCUGGUUACCGUUAUGGUAGCAGCGUACUCAUUCACACACUUUGCUCUGUAGGCAGUGUCGUCACUUGAUAUACAGGACUUCGAUAAAUAUGUCGAACUUGAAAUUGACUAUAUUGUACUGAAGAUAUGGUCAUGAAUCGAAACCAAUGUGAUACAAAUAAGACACAGUGCAAUAUAGGCAUUGUGCUUUACCUUUUUAUAUGCCUCAAUUGAAGUAUUCAUACUCGGUGUGAAAUAUGUGUAUGUAUUGUUUAUUAAUUUCAAUGCCUUUAAUUGAGUGCAUUGGCUGUUUAAAGGAUUGCUUCGUUCAUAGCGAUGCCUCAACAGCUUCAGGAUUACAAUGCACUAAUUUUUAACACGCGGAACUGUUGACGUAUAUCAUCAUGGCGUGAACUAGCUGCUUCAUUUCUUAAUGUCCAUGCAUACCUUUAACGACUUUUAUUUGGAAUGUAGUAACCACGAAACAUUUUAGGUGGGUACUAGUUCGAAGGUGAACGCGUCAAUGACAAAAUUUAGGCGGUUCUAUUAACUGUAUCACAUAUCCCUCUUUAAAACAAUAACAAAAAAAAA
rnacentral:lncRNA from 1 species